rnacentral:rRNA from 1 species
UACGUAGGUGGCGAGCGUUGUCCGGAAUUAUUGGGCGUAAAGCGCGCGUAGGCGGGAUAUUAAGUCUAUUCUAAAAGUGCGGGGCUCAACCCCGUGAUGGGAUGGAAACUAAUAUUCUUGAGUACCGGAGAGGAAAGCGGAAUUCCCAGUGUAGCGGUGAAAUGCGUAGAUAUUGGGAGGAACACCAGUGGCGAAGGCGGCUUUCUGGACGGUGUCUGACGCUGAGGCGCGAAAGCCAGGGGAGCGAACGGGAUUAGAUACCCCGGUAGUCCUGGCCGUAAACGAUGGGUACUAGGUGUAGGGGGUAUCGACCCCUCCUGUGCCAGAGUUAACGCAAUAAGUACCCCGCCUGGGGAGUACGGCCGCAAGGUUGAA